AAGUCGUAACAAGGUUUCCGUAGGUGAACCUGCGGAAGGAUCAUUAUCAAUAAUUAUCCAAAACCUGGGGUAUACUCCUUUCACGAGGAGUAUACUCUUAAACCAAACGUGAACUGUAUUGCCUCUAAUUGGCGUGAUGUAAAAGAUGGUCUUGGUUUUUUCGGAAACUGAGAUCGUCUUUGUCAAUUAGAGUGUAUUCUUACUACAUCUUAUUAACCAAUUGAACCGUUUAUUAUAUUGACUUGUUUGAACUGAAUUUGUUUCUUACCCAUUUUUUGGGAAGAAAACAUAAUUUACGAAACAAUAUAAAUAUAACUCUUAGCAACGGAUAUCUUGGUUCUC
rnacentral:misc_RNA from 1 species